rnacentral:rRNA from 1 species
GUGAGGUCAAGCAAAUCCCAUAAAGUUGUUCUCAGUUCGGAUUGUAGUCUGCAACUCGACUACAUGAAGCUGGAAUCGCUAGUAAUCGUAGAUCAGCAUGCUACGGUGAAUACGUUCCCGGGUCUUGUACACACCGCCCGUCACACCACGAGAGUUUGUAACACCCGAAGCCGGUGGAGUAACCUUUUAGGAGCUAGCCGUCGAAGGUGGGACAAAUGAUUGGGGUGAAGUCGUAACAAGGUAGCCGUAUCGGAAGGUGCGGCUGGAUCACCUCCUUU